CUCGUAGGCGGUUUGUUAAGUCGGAUGUGAAAGCCCCGGGCUCAACCUGGGAACUGCAUUCGAUACUGGCAAACUAGAGUAUAGAAGAGGCAAGUGGAAUUCCGGGUGUAGCGGUGAAAUGCGUAGAUAUCCGGAGGAACAUCAGUGGCGAAGGCGACUUGCUGGUCUAAUACUGACGCUGAGGAGCGAAAGCGUGGGGAGCAAACAGGAUUAGAUACCCUGGUAGUCC
rnacentral:rRNA from 1 species